rnacentral:rRNA from 1 species
UACGUAGGGGGCAAGCGUUAUCCGGAUUUACUGGGUGUAAAGGGAGCGUAGACGGCACGGCAAGCCAGAUGUGAAAGCCCGGGGCUCAACCCCGGGACUGCAUUUGGAACUGCUGAGCUAGAGUGUCGGAGAGGCAAGUGGAAUUCCUAGUGUAGCGGUGAAAUGCGUAGAUAUUAGGAGGAACACCAGUGGCGAAGGCGGCUUGCUGGACGAUGACUGACGUUGAGGCUCGAAAGCGUGGGGAGCAAACAGGAUUAGAAACCCGUGUAGUCCGCUCUGCU